rnacentral:rRNA from 1 species
AUACGGGGGGUGCAAGCGUUAUUCGGAUUUAUUGGGCGUAAAGGGCGCGUAGGCGGCUUGGAAAGUCAGAUGUGAAAGCCCGGGGCUCAACCCCGGAAGUGCAUUUGAAACUAUCAGGCUUGAGUAUGGGAGAGGGAAGUGGAAUUCCUGGUGUAGAGGUGAAAUUCGUAGAUAUCAGGAGGAACACCUGUGGCGAAGGCGACUUCCUGGACCAAUACUGACGCUGAGGCGCGAAGGCGUGGGGAGCAAACAGGAUUAGAUACCCCGGUAGUCC